ACUGCAGAGUUUGGAGAAAAUGAAAGACAAAGUGCGAGAUUGGUUACAUUACGCUCAGAUUAAAGAAGUUUUUAAAAAUGAUAAGAAACUAGGGUUCCAGGUGGAGAAAUCGAAAUUAGAAACAGAAUUGUUAGAACCAAAGACUAAGGUACUUUCAAGGAUGUAUAACUUGCUGUUGGAAUGGAAUACACAAGAUGAAAUGGUUAAAUCGGCUAUGAUAAGGUGGGCACAGGACAUUGGGUAUAAUAUUAUGUUUGAGGACUGGGAAAAGUUGUGGAGUAAUGGAUUGAAAUUUACUGCAUGUAACGCUCUGAAAGAAAAUGUAAUGAAAAUGAUUUAUAGAUGGUAUAUGACCCCAGUUAAACUUGCAAAAAUUUACCACCUGUCUGAUAAUAAGUGUUGGAAAUGUAAAGAGUGUGAGGGAACGUUCUUCCACCUCUGGUGGACCUGCCCUAAAGUGAAGGCGUUCUGGGAAAUGAUUUAUAAUGAAUUGAAAAAGGUAUUUAAAUAUACCUUUACCAAGAAACCAGAGGCUUUCCUUCUGGGUAUUGUCAGCCAAGGGGUGGCAAAGAAGGACCAGACAUUUUUAUGUAUGCAACAACAGCAGCAAGGAUACUUCUUGCAAAACAUUGGAAAACUCAAGAUUUACCCACACUGGAAGAAUGGCAGAUGCAACUGAUAGACUACAUGGAACUGGCUGAAAUGACUGGCAGAAUCCGUGACCUGGGAGAAGAGAGAAUCGAGGAGGAUUGGAAGAAAUUUAAGAACUAUCUACAAAAAUAUUGUGAUUUGAGUGAAUGCUAAAUAAGAUGCUAGACUAAAUAACUGAGCACCACUUAACUUAGAAGUUUUUAAGAAAACAAGUAAGACUGUGAAAGUUUAACUCUUUAUGAGAACCAUAAGAUUAUGAAACAUUGAAGAGAUAUAAGAAUUUAAAUAAGAUGAUAAAUUGCUGACAAAAUGUUAUAACGAUGAAAGUGGGAGCGGGGGAUGUGAGGAAGUCCAAAGAAAAUGUGAAACUAUGUUAAGACAAAUGUUAUAUUGUUCAUUAUGUUUAUUAUUAUUGUAAAACCCAAUAAAUUGCUU